rnacentral:rRNA from 1 species
CUACGGGGUGCUGCAGUCGAGAAUCUUCCGCAAUGGGCGCAAGCCUGACGGAGCAAUGCCGCGUGAGGGAUGACGGCCCUAGGGUUGUAAACCUCUGUCAGAAGGGACGAAGAACGUGACGGUACCCUCAGAGGGAGCCAUGGCUAACUACGUGCCAGCAGCCGCGGUAAUACGUAGAUGGCGAGCGUUAUUCGGAUUUACUGGGCGUAAAGGGUCCGUAGGGGGUCUGCCAAGUCUGAUGUGAAAUCCUGCGGCUCAACCGCGGAACUGCAUUGGAAACUGGCGGACUAGAGUGUGCGAGGGGUGAGCGGAAUUCCUGGUGUAGCGGUGGAAUGCGUAGAUAUCAGGAAGAACACCGAUGGCGAAGGCGGCUCACUGGCGCAUCACUGACCCUGAGGGACGAAAGCGUGGGUAGCAAACAGGAUUAGAUACCCCGGUAGUC